GGGGAUUUUGGCUGCUGUAGGUUAUUGCCUGAUUCACCUUCCCACAGCUUUUUGUCAUGCAAGAUGUGCUCAAUGCUGGUACACUUAAAAGCAUGCCGUAUAUCUUAUCAAAAAUAAUUAUUUCCCCACCACAAUGUGGUUCUGGAAGAGCUUCACUAAAAGAGUGAUUUGGCCUUUCAAAGUUGAAGAUGGUUAUUGAAAAACAUAGCCUUCUUUAAGUAGAAUAUAACUGAUUGGAAAGGCAGAGAGAGCACCAGUGGAAAUGAUCAUCAGACUGAUUGGUUGAAGAUUAAUGGUCUUGAGUGACUUGAGAAGCCAAAAACUGGACUUUGUUCCUCAGCCAAACCUUGAUGUUCUGUAGAGCCACCACUUCUCCUAGACUGGCUUGUCCCUCAGCAAACAGGCACUUCCCAAAGCAAACUGCCCAUGGGCGCGGGAGAGCACAACUGGGAAGUUCUGUGUUUGGGCAAGCAAAGUACCUUGAGCUUAUUUGAUGUUUGCAGACUGCCUAGAAUGAACGCCAAUGGUGGUCCUUUAAAAUGAUGGUAUUCCCUGCGAGUGCCUUUUGGUUGAGUGGUGCUUCAUCUUGUUCAGCCAGUUAUGUAGCACACUGCUCUAUGAGCACAUGCAGGUGAGUAAUCCUGAUAACCACAGCAUGUAUUUUAAUCUGUUCUGAAAAAGUGCAAAAAGGCUUUCAAAAGGGAAAAAGUCUCUUCCUCCUUGUUGAAAGCCAGCCAAGGGAAGGAUAGCAAGGGGAAAAGCAGAUGUCCUGCCUUUAAUGGAGUGUUUUAACUUUUCUGUAGAGAAAGCAGAUGAGUUUUCUGAUGCAUAAACCAGGCUUUCUUUCCUACUAAGGUAUUUCUUUAAUACUGUUUAUCAGCUGAAGUCGUUCUGUGUGUUUGAAUUUAAUUUUGAUCUAUUUAAUACCAAUGAAAAGGAGAAUUUGUUUUAACUUCAAAGUUUAUAAAUUAAAACACCGAAAGGCAUGUGGGCAAUCUGAUGUGUGGAUUUAAAGUACUCUGCACGCUGUACUUGUGGCAGGCCAUGGUGGUGGGAAGGAGUGCUGUCUUGUAGGAUCUCACCAGGGCUGGCUGCAACGAGGGUGGGAGGCAGCAACCUCGGCCAGUGGAACCUCUCCAGAGGGAUCCUGCCAGCGCUCAAAGAAAGGCUUGUUAUACAGCUUGGGAGCUUGGAGCGAAUUAAAAGAUGUUUUU
rnacentral:lncRNA from 1 species